GAGAGGAGUUUUUAUACCAUUUCAAUCAAAUAACAGAUGUGUAUCCCAAGGCAGCAGAACUUCUCGUACGUGUCAAUUUUGAAAGAUGGAGCCGGGCAUUCUGUCCAGUAGAUAGGUACAUUCUUAUGAAUUUAAUGUCUUGUUUGAGUUACAAGUUUAGUAUGAUGUCGUACUAAGUGAUUAUUUUGUAUAGGUACAAUAUUAUGACAUCAAAC
rnacentral:lncRNA from 1 species